CCUACGGGGGGCAGCAGUGAGGAAUAUUGGUCAAUGGGCUUACGCCUGAACCAGCCAAGUCGCGUGAGGGAAGAAUGCCCUAUGGGUUGUAAAGAGAGGUUGUCAGGGAGCAACGCCCGCUACGUGUAGCCGGACUGAGAGUACCUGCAGAAAAAGCAUCGGCUAACUCCGUGCCAGCAGCCGCGGUAAUACGGAGGAUGCGAGCGUUAUCCGGAUUUAUUGGGUUUAAAGGGUGCGUAGGCGGAAUGCCAAGUCAGCGGUAAAAUCGCGGGGCUCAACCUCGCUCCGCCGUUGAAACUGGCGUUCUUGAGUGGGCGAGAAGUAUGCGGGAUGCGGGGUGUAGCGGUGAAAUGCAUAGAUAGCACGCAGAACUCCGAUUGCGAAGGCAGCAUACCGGCACCCAACUGACGCUGAAGCACGAAAGCGUGGGUAUCGAACAGGAUUAGAUACCCCUGGUAGUC
rnacentral:rRNA from 1 species